UACGGAGGGUGCAAGCGUUAAUCGGAAUUACUGGGCGUAAAGCGUGCGUAGGCGGUUCGUUAAGUCUGUUGUGAAAGCCCCGGGCUCAACCUGGGAAUGGCAAUGGAUACUGGCGAGCUAGAGUGUGUCAGAGGAUGGUGGAAUUCCCGGUGUAGCGGUGAAAUGCGUAGAUAUCUGGAGGAAUACCGGUGGCGAAGGCGGCAUCCUGGACCGGCAUUGACGCUGAGGAGCGAAAGCUAGGGGAGCAAACGGG
rnacentral:rRNA from 1 species